rnacentral:rRNA from 1 species
GACGAACGCUGGCGGCGUGCCUAAUACAUGCAAGUCGAGCGGACGGAUGGGAGCUUGCUCCCAGACCGUCAGCGGCGGACGGGUGAGUAACACGUGGGCAACCUGCCUGUAAGACUGGGAUAACUCCGGGAAACCGGGGCUAAUACCGGAUAACUCUUUCCCUCACAUGAGGGAAAGCUGAAAGAUGACAUCUCGCUAUCACUUACAGAUGGGCCCGCGGCGCAUUAGCUAGUUGGUGAGGUAACGGCUCACCAAGGCGACGAUGCGUAGCCGACCUGAGAGGGUGAUCGGCCACACUGGGACUGAGACACGGCCCAGACUCCUACGGGAGGCAGCAGUAGGGAAUCUUCCGCAAUGGACGAAAGUCUGACGGAGCAACGCCGCGUGAGUGAUGAAGGUUUUCGGAUCGUAAAACUCUGUUGUCAGGGAAGAACAAGUACCGGAGUAACUGCCGGUACCUUGACGGUACCUGACCAGAAAGCCACGGCUAACUACGUG